CAGCAGCCGCGGGAAUACCGAGGGUGCGAGCGUUAAUCGGAUUUACUGGGCGUAAAGCGUGCGUAGGCGGCUUCUUAAGUCGGAUGUGAAAUCCCUGAGCUUAACUUAGGAAUUGCAUUCGAUACUGGGAAGCUAGAGUAUGGGAGAGGAUGGUAGAAUUCCAGGUGUAGCGGUGAAAUGCGUAGAGAUCUGGAGGAAUACCGAUGGCGAAGGCAGCCAUCUGGCCUAAUACUGACGCUGAGGUACGAAAGCAUGGGGAGCAAACAGGAUUAGAUACCCCAGUAGUCCCUGUCUCUUAUAC
rnacentral:rRNA from 1 species